UAUCAGUUACAAGCACGAACUACUCGACAAAUUGAUAGAAAAACGGAUGGACGGACAGACUGUCGCAGAGUUGGAGCUGUAGCAGAGCGCUUUUCAAAAAUCCCCAUAAAACUGUUGCAAAUUUUGUACAUUAAACCUACACGAAGAGCCACAGGCUUUCAGUGUUUUUAUGAAAAUUGAAUAUCAUUAACAUUGAAUAGAAAACUUAAAACUAUGAACCCGCAAUUGUGCUCGUCAUUACUUACUUUAAUUGGCUAUGACAGAACAUUUGUCCCAUUAGCCGAAUGUAGAAUAGCAUUCCAAGCGCCCAGAUCUUCUGCGCUCCUUCUACAAUCUCUGAUACCAAGUUUCGAGGUGUCUCUCAGCACUUGAUCUUUCCAUCGGACUCUUGGCCAUUCCGGUUUGCAUGUACCAUCGUGAUCUCAACAUGACUUAGCCUAUGCAACCGUUGUAUUUUGAUACGUUUAACUAUGCCAAUGUCGUUAUAUAGCUCAUACAGUUCGUGGUUCAUACGACGCCGAUAUUCUCCAUCAAUGCUAACUGGCGGUUCCGAGAAGGCGUUUAGGAGUUGAUACCAUCCAUUUUGUCUUAUCUCCAUUUACCGCCAGACCCACUUUCACUGAUUCUCUUUCGACUCUUUGCAAGGCUGCAGUUACUACUUUCGGUGGCCGACAUAGGAUAUUUAAAGGAUCAAACGAUAAGCUAUCUCCUUGUCUGAAACCUCAAUACCUUCGAUUUCAAGAAUGAUUCGAAGAGAUUCAUUCUUACUGAGGAACGUGUAUCAGCAAGAGUCAUCCUGCAGAGUCUUAUAAAUUUUGCAGGAAUACCAAAUUCAGACAUGGCUUGAAAUACCUUUAAACGUAUACUUCUCGCGUCAUUUCCAGCAUUUGGCCCAUUGUGAAUAUCUGGUGUAUGGUGGAUUUACCGCAUUGAUAGUGCCCAAUUAUCUUAUUUCAUCUUUCACACAGUUCGCUCGAAAGUAUCUUGUAUG